AUACUUUCUUCAUCGAAGUUGUUCCCUAACUUGUGAACUACAACAUAUCCAAAUUUGAGGUCCCUCGGAGCAGUAUAACUCCAGAAAUCCAGGUAUGAUGAGUGACUGUUUAUCAUUUGUCUGUCAACCCGUCAGAUUUGUUGUGAGCUUUGAAACUCUAUUUUCUCUUGCUCAGAUCAGCAUGCUUUCUUCAUUGAAGUUGUUCCUCAGCUCGUGAACUACAACAUAUCCAAAUUUGAGAUCCCUCGGAGCAGUAUAACUCCAGAAAUCCAGGUAUGAUGAAUGACUGGUUAUUAUUUUUCUGUCAACCCGUCAGAUUUGUUGUGAGCUUCGAAACUCCAUUUUCUCUUGUUCAGAUCGGUAUGCUUUCUU
rnacentral:lncRNA from 1 species